rnacentral:rRNA from 1 species
AUUGAACGCUGGCGGCAUGCCUUACACAUGCAAGUCGAACGGCAGCACGGGAGCAAUCCUGGUGGCGAGUGGCGAACGGGUGAGUAAUAUAUCGGAACGUGCCCAGUCGUGGGGAUAACGUAGCGAAAGCUACGCUAAUACCGCAUACGAUCUACGGAUGAAAGCGGGGGAUCGCAAGACCUCGCGCGAUUGGAGCGGCCGAUAUCAGAUUAGGUAGUUGGUGAGGUAAAGGCUCACCAAGCCGACGAUCUGUAGCUGGUCUGAGAGGACGACCAGCCACACUGGGACUGAGACACGGCCCAGACUCCUACGGGAGGCAGCAGUGGGAAUUUUGGACAAUGGGCGCAAGCCUGAUCCAGCAAUGCCGCGUGCAGGAUGAAGGCCUUCGGUUGUAACUAGCUUUGUUA